AUUGAACGCUGGCGGCAGGCCUAACACAUGCAAGUCGAGCGUGCGGCGGACGGGUGUGUAAUGCCUGGGAAUUGCCCAGUCGAGGGGGAUAACAGUUGGAAACGACUGCUAAUCCCGCAUACGAUUGGAUUGCCCAGGUGGGAUUAGCUAGUGGGUGGGGUAAUGGCUCACCAAGGCGACGAUCCCAAGCUGGUCUGAGAGGAUGAUCAGCCACCCUGGAACGGAGACACGGUCCAGCUUCCUACGAGGGGCAGCAGUGGGGAAUAUGUCACAAGGGGGGAAAACCUGAUGCAGCCAUGCCGCGUGUGGGAAAAAGGCCUUCGGGUUGUAAAGCACGUUCAGCGGGGAGGCGGUACUCGCAGAAGAAGCACAGGCUAACUCCGUGCCAGCAGCCGCGGUAAUAC
rnacentral:rRNA from 1 species